GAUGAACGCUGGCGGCGUGCUUAAUACAUGCAAGUCGAACGGACAGGCUCCUGCUUUCAUGGUUACUCGAGUGGCGAACGGGUGAGUAACACGUGUGUGAUCUGCCCUUCACUUCCGGAUAAACCUGGGAAACUGCGUCUCAUACCGGAUAUAACGUUUGUUUGCAUGCCGUUGUGGAAAGAUUGUGCGUCUUGCGAUAAGCUCUCGGUCUAUCCGCUCGUUGGUGGGGUAAUGGCCUACCAAGGCAUUGACGGGUAGCCGGCCUGGGAGGGUGGACGGGCACAUGGGGACUGAGAGACGGACCAGACGCAUACGGGAGGCAGCAGGGGGGAAUAUGGCAGAAUGGGCGCAAGCCUGAUGCAGCGACGCCGGGUGGGGGAUAACGGCCUUCGGGGGGUAAACACAUGUCGAAAGGGACGAAGAGCAAGUGACGGUACCUGGUCAAGAAGCAACGGCUAACUACGUG
rnacentral:rRNA from 1 species